CAUGUGCUCAAAAACUGAAAGUUAAUUUGACAUAUUUUAAGAACUGUUGAGGAACGCGCUAACUUUUUAGAUGAUGCACAUGAAAGCACACUGUGUUGGUCAGGUGGAGUAUUUAAAAGGGUGCUUUUUUAAAAACACCAGAUCACGUUGAGAUGUCAACAGCCUUCGAGUGUCCCGAUAAGAAGGAAAGUAGGUGGCUAAUGUUUGACAGGACUGUUGUGAUGAAGGAUCAAAGGUCCCAGUCUGUUUUUCUGUCACAGCCUCUUUCAUACUUGAGAGGGAUUUCUGUCUGGGAGAGAGCGUAUUUCAUGAGGGCACCACGUCAUCUUCAUCAUCGUGAUGGAACUGGCCUUUUAUCCGGCGCUGGCACUGAUGUAUUUCUUUGGAGUGAUGAAGGCCGCGCAGGAUGACCGGGUGGAGCUGACCGACCACGCGUCGAUGAACGUGUUCUGUCUGUUCGUGCUGGCACAGCCGCUGUGUCUCGUAAUCGGUGGAUACACCGGCAUGGCUACUUACCUUCUCACAUCUCUGAUAUCCUACAACUUCCUGCCAUGGAAAAGCAGCACAAAAAAGCAAGCAAAAGAAAAAGACUCAGAGAAGAAGACAAAGUGAGAGCCAGAAACAUACAUUACAUGGAAAUAUCAAGAAAGUGGAUUCAAAAGGGGACUGGAGAGUAUUUAAAUUAAGAAAAAAAUAUAAAUAAAUAGCGAUUUCACAAGACAUUAUCAGUGAUUUAACCUGUUGUCAUAAAUGUGUUGUUUUGUCUGCAGUUGUCACGAUCUGUGAGAAAGUAUCUUAUCCUUUCUUUUUUCCAUUUUCUUACAACAUUACAGAUAAAUAGAGAGCCAUAAAGGUACCUUUGGACUGAUUCGACCUAGCUCUUUAUGCUAAGAAUCCAUAACAAGCCAGCUAACAACUUGCCUCAGGUAUUAAUGAUGGUGGAGCUCAGGUUAGAGAUCCUUUCCCCAGAUUAACUUAAAAUGUAUGCAAUAGGCAAAAGUUACAGCUAGGGUCAAAAAGUUCACAGCAACUUUAAUAAAUUGCCCAUCAUACUGAUUUCUCUGUGACUCUCAUGGAGUUAAGGAAACUGGCAGGAUGGCAAGUACUGUAGAUAUCAUGAACUUAACCCAUGGUUGGGUUUUUGGGACUUUUUCAGCUUUAUUGACAGACACAGUAAGAGGGAAGCAGAGGGAGAGCGUAAGAGGGGAAGACAUGUGGCAAAGGUCCGCGGGUCGGACGCUCUUGAGCAUGUGGUUAAAACUGAUUCAGUCAAUUACUCACUUUUUUUUUAUUUACCACAUUUUACAAGACUUAGUUGUUGGUUGUUGGAAGAAUUAACAGUGAAGUGCUCUAUUCUCAGCUGCACUGAAUACACCAGGUGCUGUCACAUCUCAGCCAAAUUAAAUAGUCAGAGGUCACAGUUACGCACUGCAGAUAAUUAUGGCGACAGGAGGAUAGCAUACUCUAAAAUAGUUUCAGGUCUUCAUCACAGCAAAGGGGAAAUCAUCAAAGGAGUUGGGGCUCAUCGUAAUGGUUUGAGGUAAUUGUUGUCUCACUGUAGAGGCACACUGUGGUCUCAGGACAGCAGCCACUAAGGGAAAUCAGAACCUGUGUGGAAUAGAUCUUCUUAUUCGACUCUUGGCAAGAAGUGUACUUCCCAAAAUGAAAAAUUGUUCCUUUAAACUGAGAAAAUGAUUCAGUGAACAUCUCCAAAUUAUAAUUACAUUGUUAAUGUCAUAAUAUGAAGCCAAUUAGCUCUGGACUGUAAAGUUUGUCAGUGACAAAAAAAGAAAGCGCUGGGUUUUUUCUUUUCACCUAUGACAGUGACACUGAAUGUGUCUCUGGCCUUAUAGCUGAGUCAUUUCUACUGAACCUGCCUACUUGAAUAUGACUAAUCUGUCAAUUAAUUAAGUAUUCAGUAUAUUAUACACUCAUGAACAGUGUUUCACAAAAGCUCCCACUAAACAUAAUUAUUAAAUCAGCAUUGUGCUUUUUCCAUCCGUGUU